AAGAUAUUAAAAGAAAUUACAACUUGAGGAAGUACUCCUAUCAGUCCAUCACCGUCACCGAGACAGACACCACAAAGUAUCGCAGUUCGGGUUCUUUCACAGGAGCAGCUCACACAGUCACACUUAGCAUCUUACUGGAAGCUAAACAAGGAAAACUCUCAGACUUUGGAGAUUAAACGGUCCAUAAAUGUUUAAACCCUAAAAAGUUGAGAUCAGUAUUCAAUAUUAUGUACUCACAUUAAUUCCUCUCCUUUUUCAUUUUACGGAUAUUUGUUGAUUUCCCUGCUCCUUCCAAAGUUGGCAUAUUUCCAUGGCAGUAGGCUCUAUUGAUGGGUUGGAUGAACAUCUGCUCAAUGAACUUGUUGCUCGGGGUUCAUUGGAUUUUGAUGCUUGGACUACGCUCAUCUCGAGUGUUGAACAAAUGUACCAUGAUGAUAUAGAUAAAAUCAGUUUGGUAUAUGACUCGUUUUUGUCCGAGUUCCCCCUCUGCCAUGGUUACUGGAAGAAGUAUGCUGAGCAUACGACACACUUAUGCAGUGUGGAACGUGUUGUUCGAAUCUUUGAAAGGGCAGUUGAAGCAGUGCCAUAUUCUGUUGGUGUAUGGGUUGACUAUUGUAGCUUCGGUAUCUCGUCUUUUGAGGAUCCAUUGGAUGCUUGCAGGUUAUUUGAAAGAGGGCUAUCUUUUGUUGGGAGGGAUUAUCUAUGCUAUAAUCUAUGGGAUAAGUUCAUUGAAUUUGAGUAUUCUCAUGAACAUUGGAAUUCUUUGGCAAGCAUCUAUAUCCAGACAUUAAAAUUUCCAACAAAGAAGUUACAUCACUAUUACGAAAGUUUCAAGAAGUUGGUUGCCAUUUGGAAAGAGAAUAUGCAAUAUCAGGGAGGUUCUCGAAAGGAGAAGCAGCCAGAACAUGAUAUGAUUAUUGAAGUGGUGGCAUCUGAAGAUGCUGAAAUUUCUGAUGUUAUAAAUGACUUGUUAGAGCCAUCCACUAGAACUAAAGCGUUGCAGAAAUAUAUUUCUGUUGGAGAACAAUUUUAUCAAAGAGCCUGUGAUUUGGAUGCAAAAGUGCACAAGUUUGAGCAAAACAUACAUAGGCCUUAUUUUCAUGUGAAGUCGCUUGAUGACAAUCAGCUGCAUAAUUGGCAUCAAUACUUAGAUCUAGUUGAGGUGGAAGGUGAUUUUGACUGGGCUGUGAAACUAUAUGAAAAAUGCUUAAUUUCUUGUGCUCAUUACCCCGAGUUCUGGAUGCGUUAUGUUAAUUAUGCGGAGUCUAAGGGAGGAAGGGAAAUAGCAACUGAUGCUUUGGAGAGAGCGACACUUAUCUUUUUGAAGAAUGUGCCUGAGAUUCAUCUUUUCAAUGCUUGGUUUAAGGAGAAAAUAGGUGAUGUUAAUGGUGCACAGGCAGCAUUUCUGCAGUGUGACCAUGAAUUUGAAUCUUACUCCACUGACGCAAUCAGGAGGAAGGCCAAUAUGGAAAGGCGCAUGGGAAACUAUGCCACAUCAUCCAGUAUAUACAAGGAAGCAAUUGAGUUGGCUGCAGACAAGAGCCCAGAGACGCUUCCAAUGUUGUAUGUGCAUUUUGCACGUCUUCAAUACAUGAUUGCAGAUGAUGUGGAGGCCGUCAAAGAGGUUCUGUUAAACGGCAUUCAGCGUGUGCCUCACUCGUACCUACUCCUGAAGGAACUUAUACUUUUUGCACUGUUGCAUGAUGGAGCAAGGGAAGUGGAGCUUUUGGAUUCUCUUAUGGCUCGCGCACUUGCACUUGAGACAGAUGGUUCUGGUGGUCUCAGCAACAAAGAUCAGGAGGACAUAUCAAUAUUGUAUUUAGAGUUUGUCGACUCUUGUGGAAGCAUCCAUGAUAUAAUAAGGGCAUGGAAUCGCCAUUUGAAAAAUUUCCCACACUUGGUAAGAGUGCAUUCCUCCCUUAAGAAGCCUGCUAAAGCUGGUGCUAUGUGGAAGAUGGUUAUUGAAGGUAGGCCUGAUAGUCCUAGUACUCACUCUCUAAGGUCUUCGAAGGAGCAUGACAAAAUUAAUUUGAUUCAGCUGCCUCCUCGAGAUAAAGUAGUAGUGGCAGAGAAUGUUGACAAAUCUGAACGAGCUAUCCAUGAACAGACACAGUUUGAAGAUAGCGAUGGCAAAUUGAUUGAUCUGGAGCUGGUGACUUCAGAAGUCACAAAGACCUUUCUAACGGAGGAGUGUAAAGCAAAUGAGCCAGGUACUGGCCUGCUAAAUCAGACUGCUGAUGAUAGAAAUUCUGGGGAAGCUGCCACGGACCCUAAAUCACAUGGCAUCCAGGAAAAACAAGAGCAAGAUCAAAGGUCUCAAAAAGAAAAGCCAGAUUCACUGGAGGGUCAUUCUUUGAGUCCUCCGGAUGGUGGUAGCAAACCAGCAGGUGGCCACGACAUAGAUAAAAUCCGCUCAGUCUCGAGUCCUGUAAGUCGCGGAGAUAAUUUUGCUGCCGAAACAUGUGGUGAGUCUCUUUUUCCCUCUACAAUGACACGUAAGGACCUUUCAUCAACACUAUCAGCAGAUCAUCCUUCGGAUAAAGAGGGAAAUCCGCGAAGGUUCAACUCAUCUGGUAAAGUUCGUUCAAGACUUGGCUCCCCUGGUAAUUCAGGAGAGAGACUAGAAAGGUCGCUUUCGCCAAGAAGACGCAUCCAUGGGUGUACAGAUGAUCGGCGACACAGAGAGCGGUCUCUUUCUCCACGAAGGCACAAUUCUCGCUGGAAUUCAGAAGACCGCUGGCAUCGUGAUAAACGUCAUCGUCGUUAUUCUCGGUACCAAGAUAGUUCACAAGGUCAGAAAGAUGGCCGAAUACAACAUCAACAUAUAGUGAUCAUUGGCAACAAACGGCAAACACAGACUGCCCAACAGCAAUCUACGGGAUCUACAUCACAGACUCAGACCCAACUUCCUGUCCAAUCUGUUGCUUACCCUCAAGCUCUGACGAACCAGUAUCCGCUGCCCAUCAAUGAGCAAUAUGGCAAUGCGCAGAAUAACCAAUUGUACAAUCAGAUGUGGCAAUAUUAUUACUACAACCAGCAGCAACAGCAGCAGCAGCAGCAUGUACUGCAACAACCACCAUUAGGUCCACAGCAACAACUGCAACAAAUGCAGCCUCCUCAGCAGCUGCAGCAACAGAUGCAAAAUCCAGCCCAGCAGCAGCAUAUGCAAAUUCCUCAACAGCCAUCUCUUCAUCAGCAACAGCUUUUACACUUGCAGUAUCAGCAGCAACAGUUGUUUCCGCAGUUGCAACAGCAACAAACUAAUGAGCAAACGCAGUCUCAGCAGCAGCAAUUACAGCAGAUACAGCAACAGCAAGUUUACCUACAGCAGCAGCAGCAGCAGCAGCCGCAGCCCCAGCCCCAGCCACAGCCACAGCAACAGCAACAGCAACAGCAGGGACACAUUCAAGAGCAACAGCAGACACAGCCGCAGCAACCAGAGGAAGUCUAUCUUCAGCAGCAGAUGCAACAACCACAGGAAUCAUAUCAGUACCAGCAAGUUCAGCAACAACAGUACUUACUCUACCUCCAGCAGCUGCACCAAUAUCAACAAUCACAGAAGCAGCCAGGACUAGCUCCAGAUCAGAAGUCAUUGCACGAACAACAAAAAUUACCUCAGGACCAGCAACAAGAACUGCCGGAGCAGCAGCAUAGGGAUGAAAAGUCACAGCUUAAACAAAAUUAUGGUUCAGCAGAAGUUAGUUCAAAUAACAGUCCUCAAGAACAGCAAAUCAAACUAAAGUAACCAUACAAGAGAUUAAGCUCCUGUGACUGUUGGGCAAUGACAAAAAAGGUUGGGACUUUAGGAUCCCGUUUAGGGAUGAGGAGACCUUGGCUACACAAAUUCUGUUAGUGACACAAAACAGGGUCAAGGAUCAGAACUUACCCAUGGCUCAACUUCUGCAGCACCAUCCCAAGACGAGUUGCCUGAAAUUGAAGGAACGGAUAUUUGAUGCUUCAGUUGAAACACUUUUUAGGCUGUAUAACUCAGACUCGACUACUAGUGUCGGACAUAAGUUUGUUUUUUGGUGUCAGAUACUGCCACGUACGAAAAUUUUGCAUGCAUUCGUUCCAAAAGAAAUUUUGGUGUCCGCAUCAGCUCAGGUACUUGGGUGACAUAUAAAAGUUGGCUAGUAUAAUUUUGCAGAUGACUUGUAAAUGAUUAGGCCUUUCAUCACUAUACUUUAAGCUUUGGCAAUGAUAAUAGAAACAUUUCUGUUGUGUACUUCUGUUCGUCAUAUGUAGCUAUUGUAAUUCUCAAGUGUAUCUUGGCUUAUAAAAAAAUUAUAGAAACUCAACCUUUCCAGUCUUGCCUU